CUAAACCUACGGGGCGCAGCAGUCGGGAAUAUUGCGCAAUGGAGGAAACUCUGACGCAGUGACGCCGCGUGCAGGAAGAAGGUUUUCGGAUUGUAAACUGCUUUAGACAGGGAAGAUAAUGACAGUACCUGUAGAAUAAGCUCCGGCUAACUACGUGCCAGCAGCCGCGGUAAUACGUAGGGAGCAAGCGUUAUCCGGAUUUAUUGGGUGUAAAGGGUGCGUAGACGGGAAGGCAAGUUGGUUGUGAAAUCCCUCGGCUUAACUGAGGGACUGCAACCAAAACUAUCUU
rnacentral:rRNA from 1 species